rnacentral:rRNA from 1 species
GUUUGGUUAAGUUAGAAAGGGCGCACGGUGGAUGCCUUGACACUAGGAGUCGAUGAAGGACGGGACUAACGCCGAUAUGCUUCGGGGAGCUGUAAGUAAGCUUUGAUCCGAAGAUUUCCGAAUGGGGAAACCCACCAUACGUAAUGGUAUGGUAUCCUUAUCUGAAUACAUAGGGUAAGGAAGACAGACCCAGGGAACUGAAACAUCUAAGUACCUGGAGGAAGAGAAAGCAAAUGCGAUUUCCUGAGUAGCGGCGAGCGAAACGGAACAUAGCCCAAACCAAGAGGCUUGCCUCUUGGGGUUGUAGGACAUUCUAUACGGAGUUACAAAGGAACGAGGUAGACGAAGCGACCUGGAAAGGUCCGUCGUAGAGGGUAACAACCCCGUAGUCGAAACUUCGUUCUCUCUUGAAUGUAUCCUGAGUACGGCGGAACACGUGAAAUUCCGUCGGAAUCUGGGAGGACCAUCUCCCAAGGCUAAAUACUCCCUAGUGAUCGAUAGUGAACCAGUACCGGGAGGGAAAGGUGAAAAGCAACCCGGAAGGGGAGUGAAAGAGAUCCUGAAACCGUGUGCAUAAAAAUAGUAAGAGCCCGUUAACGGGUGAUGGCGUGCCUUUUGUAGAAUGAAC